rnacentral:RNase_P_RNA from 1 species
UGAGUUGAGUAGAUGGUCGCGUCCCGUAUUCGGGAUGAGGAAAGUCCGGACUCCGCAGGGCAAGGGUGCUGGGUAACCCCCAGGAGCGGCAACGCUAUGGAAAGUGCAACAGAAAGUAGACUACAACGCGUAAAAACGUUGUACAGGUGAAACGGUGCGGUAAAAGCGCACCAGUCCAUGAGGUGACUUAUGGAGCUGGUAAACCCCAUCUGGAGCAAGGUAAAAUGUGGACAUUUAGAGGUGUGCCCGCCUCGUCCCGGGUAACCGCUUGAGGUUAAUGGCAACAUUGAUCCCAGAUGAAUGAUCAUCAUAUACAGAAUCCGGCUUAUUCUCAACUCAAGUU